UUACUGUGUUUAAAUAUGACCAGCGACCCAUAUAGUUAUCUAUAAGAUCACUCACCCACAGUUGGCCUCUUCUUUCUCUUGAUGACACGAUCAUUGUGUCUUCAGUGGGCUGUCAAGAAGCAAUAACUUAAUAAACAAGUGUUGUGGCGCGAUAAAAACAUUAUAGGCUAGCUAAGAGAUGGAGCAGAGCCAGGAAUUGCUGCGCUUUUUUGAGAGAUCGAGGGUUUGCUGAGGAUCUCGUACAGACCUUCAUCAAUUAAAAAGAUUUACUGCAGUGCCGUCGAGGUCAUGACGGAUGCCGAACUCGCAAAAUGCGUGCCCAGAUUUACUGAUCGUAUUCCCGUAAGGCAGUACUGCAAAAGAGAAGUGGCCGCUCUCCAGGGAUCCAGUGUGUUCAAAGCUGCAGAUCGUUUUUUUAUUUUUUAUUGUUCCAUAAGCCUAAAGAAAGGUCAUAAGUAGUCAGCAAAACGUUGUGGAAACUCCAACGCUAAGAAAACAGAACGUACUUUCCAAAUUGGAUGGCUGGAACAAGUUGGAGUCGACUCAUUCUGCCAAGUUAGAGAGAAAAAAAGCUGGUGGGACAUGACAAUUAAAGGCACCAAAGACGAUUACUAUGGCAGAGCUGUUGGAGGUGCAGAUGAAGAGUGACGACUUCAUGAUAAGCCCCCAAUCACAGACCUGCGGAUGUGUUUUGGAGAUCCCCAACACCUACAUAUCAUACCUUGAUGUCAGAGGAAUUCACCUAGGUCUUGGAUUCCAAAGUGUGGGUGAUGGACAUCAUUUUCAUGUGCAGAUGUCCUUGUUUUGAGACCAAGAGUGACUUUGGAAGAAGCCCUCAAGACUGCUGAAGAACACACACAUGCUGUACACAGUGUCGUCGUUGUUGUCAGUGUCGCUUCGACAUUAGGACCUGGCCACUGUCAAGCUGGCCCUGAUGAUUGCAAACAGUGGCAAAGAGUUCCAAAAUUAAAUGAAUGUAGCAAACAUACUGUAGCCACGUUAUGCAUUUUAUAAAAGGACAGCUACUGUGAGUUGCCAUGUAUAAAAACUGCACUGUGUGCAUACUAUUCCAGCAUUGCUGAGAUGAGAAAGUCUCUCUUCAGAUUCAG
rnacentral:lncRNA from 1 species